CUUCACUCACUUUAUUGGGUCAGGAGAGCCCCAGCACAGUUGGCUGCAAGGUCUAACAGGACAUUCCUGCUGCAGUUUUUCUAUUGAGUAGGCCCCCAGCAUGGCUGUUUGCUAGGCUCAGGGGCUUACAAUUGCUGAUAUGCCUCUGGCCUGCAAGGCUGUUGUCAGUUCUCUCAUUAGUGCAGCUGGGUGGAACCAGCCCCAUGUGUGGCAGCAAAUAGUUGUUUCAAGUGUUGGAAGGUGGAGGCAGAUCCCCUAUGUGGCUGUUUGAGAAGCACAAGUCUUCUGAGGCUGACAAGACCCACCACCCACAGGCCCACACACCCCAUCAAUGCAGUCCUGCACAUGUGUGCACACCACACCCAGCUGAAGGGAACCCACUCACCCUGCUGCAGCAGUUCCACACACCCCCAUCUAAGCAGGCCCACAAGUUACCCAAGGGCUUGCUGGUGGGUGAGGCCAGUCCCUAAGGGCAGGUUGCCUGCCCUGGAUGAGCUGGAUUAAAUCGGUGCCCUAGUUGGUGGGGCAAAGCCCUGCACUAACAGAUCAGGGAAAAAACUCCAAUGGUGUCUUCCAGUGUCUGUGUCAGCAUGCCAGUGUUUGGUCACAAUAAUGGCUGCCACCAAUGUCUCAGUCACUGGAGAGGUGGUCCCAGUCACCUCUUGCUUCCCUGAGAUGUGCCCAGAACCUACCAAGCUACUGAAAGUGUGUUUUGUUUGGCUGAGGCUGGAGAAGGACAGCAGCUAUGGGCUGUUACACUGAUGCCGCCACUGAAGUUCAGCAGCGUUAAUUGACUGAUAAGGGCCGGGCAGCGAAUCGCAAUGAGAAAGGCCAUCGGAGAUUUUCUUGCUUUAUUUCUCUCUGCACUUCAUUUACAUCUUAAGCCAUAUUGGUGAUCCAGAUUUGAAUAAAGCCACGGCUUAAGCAGUGAUUAGAUCUCAAUAGCUUGGAUUUUCUGUGAAAUUGCUGCAUUUUUACUAGAUGUAUUUAGAAAUACUGGUGAAAACUGACACCUUGGGUAACUUUAUCAUUUAAAAUGGAGCUUCGGGUGGAUAAAAAAAACCAGCUAAAAUGGGAGUAUUAGUGGCCAGGCCUUUGACUCCAGCAGUGUCAGGGGUUAGAAUUAGACAAAACCCAAGCUCAGUGUGACUUGGGCUAGAAAGAAUGCAGAUAAGUCCACCCAGCACCUUCCCUUCGGCCUGCUGUCCCCAAAAAUGGUAAUUGAAGCAAUGAUCCCGGAACCUGGAGGAAAGUAAGGAAGCCAAAAGGAAUAUAUAAUGCAACAAGGAGCUUUUUUUAUUCUGAGAUUUUUUUUUUAAUCAUGAAGCAAUAUUUUUAACUCUAAGGUUAACCUGCUAAUCCUUAAGCUGGUGAUAUGGCAGUGUCAGAUGUGACGGGAUUUUGUGAUUCUCAUUAUUGUUAUGUAUUGUUCUUUCCCUGGUAUUCC
rnacentral:lncRNA from 1 species